rnacentral:rRNA from 1 species
UACGUAGGUCCCGAGCGUUGUCCGGAUUUACUGGGCGUAAAGGGAGCGUAGGCGGACUUUUAAGUGAGAUGUGAAAUACUCGGGCUCAACUUGAGUGCUGCAUUUCAAACUGGAAGUCUAGAGUGCAGGAGAGGAGAAUGGAAUUCCUAGUGUAGCGGUGAAAUGCGUAGAGAUUAGGAAGAACACCGGUGGCGAAGGCGAUUCUCUGGACUGUAACUGACGCUGAGGCUCGAAAGCGUGGGGAGCAAACAGG